ensembl:lncRNA
CAGAAAGACCCUUCCUUUUGGCUCUGGAUGUUGCUUUUAUCUUCUAGCUUUAAAAAUACUACAUUUUUCAAGCACUACUAAUUUAGGUGGUUAACCAUCUUUUUCCACAGAAUUUUCUUUCUUUCUUUCUUUUUUCAAUGAACUUCAUAUUUUUAAAGCAGGAGUCUAAAGGAGAAAUCAGAGUGUAAUUGGAAUAUUGUGCUGCAUUUUCUUUCCUGUGACUCUGUGUCUGUUUAGGUCAUCAGCUGCACCCUCAGUAUUAUUGUUGAUGAGAGCAGAGACACCAGGGGUGCAAAAUAUUUCUGUACCAAACAGAAUUCCCGAAUUAGGUGUGUAUACAGUCUCAACUCUGUUAACCUUUGGUUCUGCAUGGGGCAUCUUUAGUUCAUCUUGUAGACAAGACAGAUUGAAAAGGAGCCUCAAACUAAGGAGUAUGUUACAGCUAGACCUGCGAUAUUGCCAUGCCUGAAGAACAUGUGGUUGUGUAUUUAUUGGUGCAGGGAGUCACCUGUUUGUACAGCUACUUGAGACCCACAAGCCCAUGAGGAUGAAGGAACUGCAACUGUUGCUGAAUUAUGCUUCUUUCCACAGAUGAAGUGAUAAUAAGUAGAUGAGAGAAUAGAUGUUUCUGGUAUAAUUGAGAAUCUGAACAUCCAUUUCAUUGUAGUACUGUGUGCAGGAGGUACAGCAAUUGGCAAUUAUGUGAGUAAAACAGCACUGUUGCUUAGACAGUUAUUUCUCCAAUAUGCCUGAAUAUUUUUUCAUUUAUAAACCUAGUGUUAUUUUAUGGAGCAGAUGACCUAAGGAACAGAAGUUUGCAGAUCUUAAAACCUUCUGCACUAUGACUUGGCAGCUGAACCAGAAUGGCAAAUUCAGAUGAGCAGCUUCCUUCCUUGUUCUGGAGAGAUGAGUUUUCAUUGCAAAGCACAUCAACCACCUCCCCAUUUCCAUUGGAGAAUGGUGCAGGAGAUAAUGGAUAUAUAAAUCCAGUAGGAUUCUGUGUAAAUUCCUCUGGUAGUAACAAAGCAUAGAUCUUUAUUCAGCUACUUGUAAACUUGUACAAAUCUGUUGUCUUGGUAGCUAAUGUUGGUUAGGUAAUGUUGUAGCUUCACAAACUUUACUAUGGUUAGAAUAUUUUCUUCAUACUGUUCUAGCAAAAAAUAAACGUUUAGCAAAAACAAAUGCAUCA